UUGUCCAAGAACCAGCAAAUGAUUGUGAACCAGAAAAAUCAAUUCCAGCAGCAGCUGAAUAUUGUGCGGUCAGAGCUUCACAAGACCACAGAAGAGUUCAAAAAGCUUACAAUGGAGAAAAAUCGUAUUCAGGCUCAGAGUGGUGAGGAGUUCAAGAGAGUAAACAUGGAAAAGGCUCGCCUACAGCAACAGCUAGUGGCAACCCAA